UAUAUAUAUGUUAUUUACCGGCUGCGAGGUCCGGAUGAGAAAACCUGUGCCCGAGGUCUUGAAAACGGCCCGAGCCCGAAGGAUGAUUUCAAGACCGAGAUCGCAGUUUUUCUCGUCCGGACCGACGCUGCCGGUAAAUAACGUGUUUAUU